CAAAAAUUGAGACAAAAUAAGAAAAAAAGCUGCCACAAAAUAUUCAAAUCUCCGACAAGUAUGGCAAUAAAAAGAUGUGGAGUUUGCGACGAAGCACAAUCCAAAUAUAAAUGUCCUACCUGCCUUAUACCCUAGUAAGCUUUUCUUUCUGUGUAAAUUUUGUAUUAGAUUUUCUGAAAUUUUUUUAUCUUGAAAUUGACUGAUUAAUUUCGGUUGGAUUUUAUUUUUCCACUCGCAGUUGUUCGUUGAUAUGUUUUAAGAAACACAAAGGUAGAUAUACUAGCUCUGUCCGUCUGUUUUGGCUAUUUGUGAUUUGUUGUCCUGUUUAAUUUGAGCUUUUAUGUGAUGCUUGUGCAGAAAUUCCUUGCUCAAAACCCGAAUUUUUGCCUGGG
rnacentral:lncRNA from 1 species